GGUCGGGUGGCCUAAUGGUAAGGCGUUGCUUUCCGGUAAAGGAGCAUGGCAAAGAUUGCGGGUUCGAGUCCCGUCCCGAUCG